rnacentral:rRNA from 1 species
UACGUAGGUGGCAAGCGUUGUCCGGAUUUACUGGGCGUAAAGAGCUCGUAGGCGGUCUGUCGCGUCUGCUGUGAAAACUCAGGGCUUAACCCUGAGCUUGCAGUGGGUACGGGCAGACUAGAGUGCGGUAGGGGAGACUGGAAUUCCUGGUGUAGCGGUGAAAUGCGCAGAUAUCAGGAGGAACACCGGUGGCGAAGGCGGGUCUCUGGGCCGUAACUGACGCUGGAGGAGCGAAAGCAUGGGGAGCGAACAGG